GGGUUUUCUUUUCUCUCUCGUUUUGAGAGUCGACUCCCGUGUUAGGGUUUCAGCCGUCACUUCUCCGCCUCCCAGAUGUUCAUCUUCUCAUCAAUUAACCCCUUCGCUCUCUCAUCCCCUCAAUUAUUUUACUUAGUUUCAAUAAAACCAAGAUUUAAUCUUGUUUGAGUACCUUGUUAUCAAGGUUGUGUGCCCAUCGUUUUGGGAUGUUAGUGUGUGCCCAUCUUUUUGGGAUGUCGUGUGUUAUGUUUUUCGUAUUUUUAUGUGUCUUGAUGUGUCGUUCGAUCAUCAAUCUGAAAAGGAUUUAUACGGUAUUUUGGGAGAUCGGUAAGACUCGCAUCGAUUUCAGAAC
rnacentral:lncRNA from 1 species